GCUCCCUUAGCUCAGUCGGUAGAGCGUCUCCAUGGUAAGGAGAAGGUCGAGAGUUCGAUUCUCUCAGGGAGCUCAA
rnacentral:tRNA from 1 species